UGGCUGUAGAGACUUUCCUUGUGGAACAUCUGGAGAACUAAUGCUAUGGGACAAAAAUUUGGGAGUGGGGAAUAGCUAUAGAUUCUCAUUCAUUAUAUGCUACAAAAUACAAAAAAAAAUCCAAAUGUCAUGUAGGGAUUUUACUCAUCCACCUUGACUAAGGGGGUUAUUCAUUUGUACCAUGAGAAAACCAUAAAACACAAAAAUCACACCAGGUUAAUAUUCAGAGAUCAAUAAACAAUAACAGGCCAAUUACAGAAAUGACAACAAUGGACUGAAGGAGAGAAGAUAGCAAAUAUUUCACUGGCUGCCUGGUUAAGUGAUGUAUCUACAUAAAUAAGCCUAAAAUGGAGCAACAGUAGCAAACUGUUAUUAUGUAACACCAGAUCAACUUCCAUAAGAGUCGAUGGUUUUUAGCUCAACUUCUGAGAAAGUGUCUCUCAAAAUGCAUCACCACAACUUGGACAUAACAGUCAAACGUAAGAACUAGGAACAUGCAGAAUGAAUGCUCGAAAGCAAAAAAUGGCAAACACAUCCAUCUGUUAUGGAGAUGCUGCAGCAUAAUCAGAUGUGGUAUACAUCUUCACCAACCACCGUGGAAACUUGUGUCUACAGGGAAAGAUCUGAGAACAUCAGAAGAGCUCACACCUGAAGAUCAAAGGCAACAACUUCCUUAUCUGAUAAGCAACACACAGCACCACAUAAACUAGCUCAGCCUUCCUGACG
rnacentral:lncRNA from 1 species